UGUUUUUAAAAAGAAAAACCUGAUUCCAAGACUAACCAUGAAGCAUCCUCCUUUGAAUACAAAUUUGAUUUUCCACCCCAGUACACAGCAAUCAGGGUAUCCCCCAAUCUCUGCAGAACCCAGCUCUGGUGACAUGGGGAGCAGCUUUGGUCUGUUCUUCCAGGCAGCCUGAAACAAGCACAAGCACCAAGAGACAAAGAUAACCAAACCCCUCUGGCCUCAUUAAGCCUCAAUCCUCACAAAGGGUCCUGCUCACCACUGGAGACUAAUUUGGGAUGCUCUUUUUCUAUUAGGAUUCACCAGUGACACAGAGCAAGGCAUUCAGUCACCUUCACCCUUGGGGUCUCAGUUUCCCCUGUUAAAAGAGUUGAAAGAGCUUUAGAUACCACAGCUUUAAACCACAGAGCUCUGAAAAACAAAAACAGGAUGUCUGCCUCUGAAGCUGCUGCUCUGUGUAUUUUUCCUGAGACUGUGCUAUCUGGGACCAGGAUGAAGAUUUGUUGGCCCUAAUUAAGUGAAAAGCAGAAGCCAUGCUGUUUUGGAAAGCUCGCACACCAAAGCACACACCAAGAAUUACCUGCUUACAAUUCUGCCAAAAGACAAGAUAAAUAAUUACACUGAUAUCUGUGUAUCAGGUAAAUGCAGUGUUAAUAUCUUACUGUUUGCAUUAGAAUUGGGAGUUUAAACCUGGAUCCACAAAUACAACAUGUGCUGUGCUUCUAUCAUAAAGUUCACAGUUAAAAUAAGGACACACUACACAUUUCUGCUCAAGAAUCAGGACAACUCUUAAAUGAAUGCAUCCUACUAGGCAGAAAUGCAGACACAGAAAAUAAGACGAUCAGUGAUAGAGGUGAAAGCUACUGUGCUCAGUUUAGAAGCAGAAAACUAGAUGCAAUGAUGUUUUGACUUUGUUCUUACA